UUUUUGUUUGUUUGUUUUUUGGGGGUUUUUUCUGAUUUUGUUGGUUUGGUUUGGUUUUAUAUCUGAGGCUGCUCUGCUAGGAAAGGAGGUAGCAGCUGAGAGCAGGUGCCUCUGCAUCAGAAACCCCAGUUCAAAGUCCACUGAAUUUUGCUAAGCUACCAGGCUGAGAGCUGGAGUAUCUGCAGUACAGCACUGGGCCCUCCCCUCCCUGUGCUCUUACAGAAGAGGGGACAACAGUGCGUUGUCUUUUGUUUCUUCUGCUACAAGAGCAGUAAUCUGUGUCAGAGUAGCAGGAUGGAAAGCUAAGGGCAGUAGCAUUUUAAAACUGCAGGAUUACCCAGAUCUGUCUGCCUGAGACACCAAAAAUGCAUCAGCCAAGUGCUGUCCCUUACCCCCCAGCUUUCAUGAUUGUGAGGCAGGUAAAGUUAACUUCAAUCUUCAGGAGGUUGAAAUAUUGGUUUUCUCCCUGAACACCAAUUUAAUUUCUGUGGGAAGGAAAUAUCUGUGCCAUCUUCUUAUGUAAUAGUCUGAAAAUGUCUAUGAAGUAUCUUGUUGACAUUUUCCCAAAGAACUUUUUUUGUGUGAAAAUGCCACAACACGCAUCACCACAAGAAAGGGUAAAUAAACUCCAAGAAGUUAUCCAUACAUCAGGCUCUCCAAAGCUAUAGUAGUAUUUACUCUAGCAAUGUAUCAUGUCUUUAAUACUGCUGUAUUGUCCUUAUUGCGUAGUUUCAUUGGGCUGACCUCAAAAAUACUCAGUGUACCUUGAAAUUUUGUUCGUUUUAAAUGAGUUUUUAAAUGAGUUACAGGAAGGUAACCCUGAGGCAGGGUUACAAUCAAGCAUUUGGAUCUGGUAAGCCAUAACUCUGUGUCUUUGUCUUUUCUCUUACAAAGCUCUGUGGGCACAUAUGCCCAUAUAAAUGCUUUUUAGUUGUGUGGUAGAGAGGAAAUUACAGCCACUGGCUGGAUUUGGAGGUGAGGGUGGUUUGGUAAUUUUUGGGUAUCCAUGACUGGCUUUAUUUCAGAAGGAAUGUCUAUAUGUAUUACUUUUCAGUUACUUUCCAAGUAACCAGGUAGAGAAUCGGUGUCCAAAAUAGAAUUUUUGCUGUGUAAUUUACAAUGGAGGCUAUGGUAUUUCCUUGCUGCUGCCCUAGAAAGGAAAGAUGAGGAGAUUUCACCAUUUUCUUUUCCCCUCCCUUCAGUGACAGGAUCCAGCUGAUCUGUCUGAAGAUAGUUCAAUUCUUCUCUCCCUCAUUUUAGUGAACAAUCUGCUCAUCAGUACAGUGGCACUUUGUAGAAGCUCAGGUAGGGUGUUGAGUAUUUUAGAUGUACUGCAAAAGGCUUUCUAUGGUGGCUUUCAGUCAAAAUCUUGCAUGGGCAGUGCCAUAUGGCUAUGCCACCUAAAUAGAGGCAGAGAGAGAUUUUUUGCAGAGGCACCAGCUCCUCAGCUUGAGACAUUUGCUGAAAUCUGCAGUUUAGGCUGAUUCCUGGCCAGCCAGGGUGAGUCUGCCCUGGCAAGGAACUCAGUGUGUAUGUGGAAGACCAGAGAGAGCACUAUCCCAGCAUGCCUGAGUGAGGAAGCACAGAGAUGGGAAAGAGUCUGUCAGGGGCAAUCUGGCUCUACCAAGCAGCUACUCCAGAGCUGAUUAGUACAGGAAGAAGGAGGUUAUAUGACCAAUACAAUAAAUCACAAAGAUAAUUAUUUGAAUGGCAUGCUGCAGGAGAAUCAUAAGAAAUUAUGGAAAGUAAUAAACUCUGUAAACAGCAGUGAUUUUUUAAGACCCUGGUGCUUGUGGGAGUGCUUCAGGAAAAGGAAGAGAGAAAGUAAAACACCAGAAAGGGAUGAUAAUAUUAGAUGAGAACAACAGGAGUCAAACCAUGAACUGCAUUAAGGGACUUGGAAGAUUGCAGUGUUUUAGAUAAAGGGAAGGGACUAAGAUAAGUGCAGCGUCAGUACACUGAGAUAAGAGCAAAGAGGAAAGGUAAUUGGAGGCAGUGCACUUUGUGGUCAGUGGGCCAAAUGUGUUAGGCUCAGAGCUGGGGAUGUGUAUGGCCCUGGUAGCAUAUCCCCAAGGACAGGAAUACCAGUUCUGACUUUGGAGUGAUGAUUAUUUAGUAAAAUCUUCCGCACAGUGUUUGGUAGUUGUUAAAAAACAAGAUACUGGAAUAUGCAGAGAAUGUUUGGGGCUGUAAAUGUAAUGUCUGCUUCAUCCCACUAUACUAAAAAAACCCCAACAAAACCCACAAACACAAAAGAAGAAAGAAUACCUUUCAGGAUAAUGGGGCAGAUUGUGGGUUGGUAUAACUCAGCUUGGUUUCCUCAAAAUCAGCUAUGUAGCUUUAUGUUAACAGAGCCUGUAUUUGGUAAUGUGUAUGCCUGUCUAGCAUAGUAUAUACACAGGAUUUUUUACUUGUUGCAUUAUCCAGAAAGUUAUACAAAUGAUCAAGACCUGGGGCAUAGCAUGAGACCAACAAUAAAACAUGAAAUUAAACAAAAGUACAUGUCUUCUUAAUUCUACUGAUGUAGGCAAGUCAUUCUGCUUUUUUAUAAAGCUCUCUGAUGGAGCUCUAUGCACAUCUCUGAUCCUUGUGAUUAACUUUCCUGACCAAUGCUGGCAGACUCUGUGAUGGAGUCUCUGCUCCCAGGGGCUCAGCACUAGUCUCUACAAAGGUAUCUGGGAUCUGCAGGGUCAGGCUGCCUGCCCAGCUUGUCACAAAGACCUUGUGACCAUUUACAAGUCUUAAGGACUGGCCUAAGCUUCCAGCCAUUCUCUAUAUUAGCAAAAAUCACAUAUAUUUCAGAUUUAGCCAGAAAGGCUAGACCAGCAAAGGAAUAUACCUUUGGCUGCACAUGACUUGGAUAUACCUGGACAUGAGUAUUUGAAAUGAAGGCACAAAUUUGUAUUUGUACAGGGUAGUUCUGUGUAUGGCAUUUUGUUUGGGUCCUCUAACUGAACUGAAGAGGAGGUAACACAACUCACCUAAGUAGUUUGAAUUUCUUACGCUAAAUUGCAAAGGCCUGUGCAUGAUUACAAAGAUGCUGACAUUGGGUUGGAGUUAUUUUUAAAGAUGAAAGAGAAAUAUUGCUGCAUUUAUGUUUAGUAUGUCUUUCAACAAAGAAGAAAAUUUUAAAAAAUCAGGAAUAAAAUUUGACCAGUCAGUGAGUAAUACUCAUUUUAUAUCACUACCACUAACACUUAACUUUUCACCAUAAUAUUUGCUCUCUGCAGGACAUUUUUGCAUAUAGGAAGCUAAGGCUAUAUAGUAAUAUAAAGGGUUGAAGUAGGACUAAGAAGUUAUAACCCCCAAAAGUAAAGAGAGAGAGAAAAACACACUUAUAAAUGUCUUUCCAGUCUCAUAUUGUCUCUAAAUUUAUCAAUUCCAUAUUCCAUAAUGCUCUAAGUUCCAGCCUCAACAGAUAACAUUAAGCAGUACGUAUUAUAAUUUCAUCAGACUUGGACUCUUCCUUAAAACCUCAGGUGACUUCAUGCAUUUAUAUCAAUUUUAUCAACAGAGCAGUGCAUCUGACUCUCUGAAAGGAGGUGUGGAUCCAAGACCAAAUUUCUCAUGACAAGAAGGUUUGGAUUUUGAUGGGAUGCUUAUGACAAACACAGACAGAAAGAGACCAAAAUCUCUCAUGUAAAAUAAUACAAAAAAAACCUCUGGAAAUACUGUGUAUGUGAUGUCUUCAGUUAGUAAUAUUUUUGGAAGACUAAAGGCAGUUUUCAUUUGGCUGAUUUGUGUUACUUGGGGGUGACCAUGUGCAUAAACUAUAACGGGAAGUCAGUAUUUCUGAAAAUUUAUAUAAGAGGAUUUAACCAGAGAAGUGUGACCUGCUGACUCAUUGUCCCAAAAUGGUAUCAGUCUAAAAUAUCAUUGCAAAUGUGAGCUGAAUUCUCAUGCCAGCCCUAAAUGGGACAGACAGUAGCUCCAUACAUUAGGAGAACAGGCUGUCGUAGCUGUAUCUAGUAGAGAAGAGCAAGGAAAGAAUACUAAAACCAUUUAUCAUAAGGAAAAAAAAAUUAAAACUUCAGUCUUGGUGCAAAUUGGCAACUGCAAGCUGUAAAUUGUAAUUAAUGAGAAACAAAAAUUAGCUUAAAAUGGUUCACUAAGAGACGUUUGAUUCUGGGACAUCAGAUGAGUUCAGCUUCUGUUGGACUGCACACCUAGGACAUAUGAAACUCUGAACUGUGAAGGAACAGAGUUCAAACGCCAAACACAAGCAGAAGCAUUGGGUUUUUUCAACAUUUUCUGGCAGCAGAGCUCCACUCAAUGGUUUGGUAUAUUCCCCACCUUCUUUCUUCAUGUCUCUUUCUAUGGAUAUUGAAGAGAAGCUGAGGUAUUGUCAGAAAGCCAACAGUUGAUCUUCCCUUUUGACAUGCCAUAUCAUCUUCUGAGACAACACAGCAUGUCUUGAAGUAUAAAAAGCAUAAUACUGCUUUAUUGGGGUUGAGUUGGAGCAGCAACGUGCAAGAUGUUGUCAAUGCCUGGUAACCCCUCAGCCGUGUCUGUUCCUGUGCCUUCACACGUGGGUGUAGAGCAAGAACUCUCCUGCAUGAGCUGUUUUAAAUCUUUGGAGGACUGCCUAGCAGAAAGGAUGUCCAGUUCUGGG